GGCACCUCUAAUCCAAUCAAAAUCAGAUAAAAAAUUUUAUAUAAAUAUAUUUAAAUAAGAUUUAAUAUCAUACAAAAAAUCUUAAUUAUAUCUCGUAUAAAUAAUCAUAAAAAAUUUUAUUUUGCAUACAUAUAUUUCAGGUCUGCUCUGAUACCAGUUGAAGGGAAGGAAACAGUUUCCCUCCAGAAUACCCAGAUUGCAUCUAAAAUUUUUUUCUAAUAUUCUACUUAUUUAUGGAUCAAAUUCUUACCUAAAUCACAGUGAAAUCAGGGAUCAAAUCUCAAAUUAUCUGAUAUAAACCUUCGCGGAGGCCUAGAU
rnacentral:lncRNA from 1 species